GUGAAUCAUCAAAUUUUUGAACGCAAAUUGCGCUUCCUAGCAUCCCGGGAAGUAUGCCUGUUUGAGGGUCAGUAUUAACAAAAAAAUCGGUUUGGUUGCAAAUUGUGACGAUUCCGGAGUUUGGGCUAUCUUAACUUUUUUGGUUAAGGGGCUUAAAAUUGACCUUUUUUGCGCAUUUUUAGACGUACAUAAAUUUUUUUUUUUUUAGGUGUUUUUUAAGGUAUAAAUCUUAUUAA
rnacentral:misc_RNA from 1 species